rnacentral:rRNA from 1 species
CAGCCAUGCCGCGUGCAGGAAGACGGCCCUAUGGAUUGUAAACUGCUUUUAUACGGGAAGAAACACUCCGACGUGUCGGAACUUGACGGUACCGUAAGAAUAAGGAUCGGCUAACUCCGUGCCAGCAGCCGCGGUAAUACGGAGGAUCCAAGCGUUAUCCGGAAUCAUUGGGUUUAAAGGGUCCGUAGGCGGCCUUAUAAGUCAGUGGUGAAAUCUCCUAGCUCAACUAGGAAACUGCCAUUGAUACUGUAGGGCUUGAAUUUUUGUGAAGUAACUAGAAUAUGUAGUGUAGCGGUGAAAUGCUUAGAUAUUACAUGGAAUACCAAUUGCGAAGGCAGGUUACUAACAAACGAUUGACGCUGAUGGACGAAAGCGUGGGGAGCGAACAGGAUUAGAUACCCUGGUAGUCCACGCCGUAAACGAUGGAUACUAGCUGUUCGGAUUUAUCUGAUUGGCUAAGCGAAAGUGAUAAGUAUCCCACCUGGGGAGUACGAACGCAAGUUUGAAACUCACAGGAAUUGACAGAG